GCUGGGCAUGGUGGCACAUGCCUGUAAUCCCAGCUACUCAGGAGGCUGAGGCAGGAGAAUUGCUUGAACCCAGGAGGCGGAGGUUGCAGUGAGCCAAGAUCAUGCCACUGCACUUCAGCCUGGGCGACAGAGCAAGACUCUGUCUCAA
rnacentral:SRP_RNA from 1 species